UACGUAGGGUGCGAGCGUUAAUCGGAAUUACUGGGCGUAAAGCGUGCGCAGGCGGUUCGCUGUGUCCGAUGUGAAAGCCCCGGGCUUAACCUGGGAAUGGCAUUGGAAACUGGCGGGCUUGAGUGUGGCAGAGGGGGGUGGAAUUCCGCGUGUAGCAGUGAAAUGCGUAGAGAUGUGGAGGAACACCGAUGGCGAAGGCAGCCCCCUGGGCUAACACUGACGCUCAUGCACGAAAGCGUGGGGAGCAAACAGG
rnacentral:rRNA from 1 species